rnacentral:lncRNA from 1 species
CUAUUUCCUUCUUUGAAAGACAAUCAGGCUUUAAUCAUAUUAUCAUUCUUAUUUUCCCUUGCAAAAUUAACAUUAAAUAGUUUCACAUACAGUUGGCCAUUGAACAACAUGGGCUUGGCUGCAUGGGACUACUUACGCAUAAAUUUUAUUCAACAGUAAAUACCACAGUCUGAGGUUGGUUGACUCAUCAGAUGUGGAAGCACAGAAGUAGAUAAAUCAUGGAUGCAGAGGGCCAACUAUAAAUUACAGGCAGAUUUUUGAUUGUGGGAAAGGUCCACGUCCCUUAUCUCUGCAUUGUUCAAGGGUCAAGUGUAUAUUCGCAAAUAUAAGGUAUACAUAGUGUUAUGUAUACACCACUAUGCACAGCCCACACAGAGUAGCAAGGACUUACAUCCUGGGGCCUGAGUAAGAAAACUGUUUAGUAGUCUGCUGUUUCAAUCCAGGCCAAGAUAGAAAAGUAAGUCAAGAAAUAUGUAUAACGUAUAUUAGUGGGGAAGAUUCUAAUUAACUUCUCAGCAAGGCAAAGCGAGUUUCAUUAGCAAAAGCCUCUUAUAAAUAAUAUCUGUUUAUACUCCCACAUGCUUUUCUUCAUUGAAAUCAAAACUCUCAAGAGAGAAAUAGCUGACAGCUAUAUUCAAGUCUAACAGAACAACAGAAAAUGAAUCAGUUUGCUUAUACAGAGAAAAAUAACUGCACUCUAAUAUUUACAAAUACAUCAAAUGACCAGCUGACUUUUUUUCUCAAUUUUUCACUUUCCUCAAUUAAAGCUUUUAUUUUGGAGUUAUUAUUUUUUAUUUUUUCCUUUUUAUAGAAAUAUUGUCAUGUUACAUAGAGACUUGUAGGAAUCAAAUAAUUCGGAUCUUUAUAGAACAAGUUCUUAGCAGUCAUCCUCAAUCAAGGAUGUGUAUCAGCCCCAGAUGGGAAAUAUGUUCCAAAUAUGUAUACGUGUGUGGGCUUGUCAAUCCAUGGUGUUAUUGUUACAGAAUUCUGGGCCAGAACCACCUCUAUAAAUUAUUUAGAGACUACCAGCAUGGCCAAUAAAUAUAGCAAUGAAUCAAUCAAUAACUUGUUUUCAAUUAAUUGUUUAGAAUCUCAAAACUUAACUUUCCCCUGUAAACACUGUGAAUUAGACGUCAGGGUACAUCUUUGCUCUUGCUUGGAAACUACUUUCUUUUCAUAUAUAUUUUAACAGUCUCUAGUCAUUUACAUGUUAAAAACAAAAAGGCAUCUUGAACCUUACAGUUCCCUCCAGCCAUUUGGCCCUCUCUUGUCCCUACCUUUUCAACAGGUCUUAAGAAAUUUGCCUGUCUGUUUUUACCACUCAAAGGCAUUUAAAAAUGGCCUCUGACCUCACUACUUCAGCAUUUAUCAAUAUCCAUGUAUUCCCAUAGUAGAUGUAAGGGUACCAUGUGAAAAAUUUGAAGAUAAAACACAGAAGGUCACACAGUGAGUACUAGCUACUAUAUUUAGGGCAGGCGCUCCUAGAGCAGGACCUAGGAUUUUGAGGCUGUGUUGGUAACAAGGGAACAGAUAAAUAGGAAGACCUGCUGGUAGAAACCCCUGUGAUAUUUCUAAUUACUUUGACAUUUUUUUCUCCCCUAGGUCCCAGGUAUUGGUCAUGUUGUCUGAAGCUUGAAAGAGUUAUCUGAACAUUGAGAGGACACUUGAACUAAAAUACAGCUCCCACAAAAUGAUAGUUCUAUCUUUGUUUACUGAUAUUUAGUGCCCAGAAAGACAAGACUUUGUUCCACCAUUGAUUUUUAUUUCAGGGAAAGAGAGAGAGCAAAUUUAAGCUAUGGAUAAAAGGAGUACAGACAGAGUAAGAUGCUGAAUCCUUUCAGGACAGACGUGGACACAGAGCUAAACACCUGGCAAGGGUAGAAAUGAUAGUGAUGAAUAAACUUGAUUUCAGUACACCAAAAAUUCCUUAAUUUUGGAUUGAAGGCAAUUUGAUAAUUUGAUCUAAAAAUCUACUUCACUUGUUGACAUUCUGUGAUUCCCAGAAAAUACUUUCCAUACUUUUAUGAGCCAGUUUCCACAUAUAAAGGAAAGUAAUAAAAUUAACUCUAGCCCUCUAGGGAUGCUGAAAAGAUAAACGAGGCAAUAUUUCAAAAAGUGUGAAGAGCUUCCUUAGAAGAAAAUUAUUGUAUUAGUCAAGGCAUAAAUGCAAUUACAAAAAUAAACUUCUUGUUAUGAAUUGACCUAAAACAGUAAUAUAAGCUUUAUGAAAGGAUUUGGAAUUAAUGAUGUGGGCUAGUGAAAACCAAGGAAGAUUAGAGAAUGUGUCUUAUAGCAUUUUAUUCAUCAAAUAAUCUUACAUAUUUGUAGACAUGGAAAUAGGAAUAUGUAUAGGUGAACAUAUAAGCUCAUAUGUGAAUAGAUAGCAACUCUUAGGUACAAAGCACUCUUCUAAGCAUUGUGGGAUGUUUAAAAAAUAGUUGUUUUCUAGAGUUUAAAAUUAUAGUAGCAAAACAAUGCAAUUAUAGUCUUCUGUGCAUAUUCAUUCUUUUCAGAUAGUUUAGCAUAGAGAGCAAAUAUAUCAUAGUUUUAAACAUUCUUCUCUAAAAAUUAUAUACUAGCAAAUACUUUGAUCUUUUUAUUUUUACAGUCACAUCUACAGCAUACAGAAGCUCCAGAGCUAGGGGUUAAAUCAGAGCUGCAGCUGCAGACCUAUGCCACAGCUUGUGGCAACGUCAGAUCCUUAACCCAUUGAGUGAGGCCAGGGAUCGAACCCACAUCCUCAUGGGAGACUAUGUUAGGUUCUUAACCUGCUGAGCCACAAUGGGAACUGCACAAAUACUUUUUUCUUGAUUUAAUAGAUUCAAAUAUUGUAGAUUAAGAUGGACUACUUGAAAAGUAGAAAUCUUCAGAAGAUAAAUUUUUUAAAGGAUAUUUGUGAAACAGCUUUCGGAAUUGUCAAACAAAUGGAUUCACGCAAAUAGAUGCAAUUAUCACUAAUAAAGAAUUUAUUUUGUGAAAUUGGCAGUCUAAAUAUUUAAGAAAUUUGUAUCUGUUCUAAAAACUUCUACCACAAAAACAGUUAUCAAAAUAUAAAUCAUAUCAUUGUUUAAUUUCAUGAUGCUACUUUCAAAUGAUACAAUAAAAAUCUAUCUAUAUAUAAAGAUUUAUAUAUAAACCUAUAUAUUACAUACAUUUAUAUAAAGAGAGAAAGAUAUAAAGCAAAUAUAGCACAAUAUGAAUGACUGUUAUAUUGAGGUUGGGAGUACAUGGAUAUUCACUGUACCACUCUUCCAAAGUUUUGAAAAUUUGCAUAGUGGUUCUGGGUAAAAAAUUAUGAUACUAUCCUGGAAUGGUGUACUAUUUGCUCCAUAAUUUCAUUCCUCUCUCCCUUUGAUCUUGGGUUCCAAAUCCAAUGGCUUCAUUCCAGGAAUUGGACUAUAAGAAGCUGUGCACCUAGGGCUGGCUAGUUCUUAAUGGACUAUUCAGAUCUUCACCUUAAUAUAAUUUCUUCAAAGUCAGGAAUAACUAUCCAAUCCAAAUAAUCUUCCUUCUCCAACAUUAUUUUUCUCUCUCCCACAGCACAGAAUCACCUUCAUAGAUUUAUUAUAACAUAUAAAUACACAUUUAUUUCCAUGUCCCUGUGUUUGUCUUCUCACUAAAUGGUAAACUGCAUGAGUGAGACCCUAUAUUCCUGACAGUAUAUCCACUACUUCAGACCACGUAAGUGUCAGUAUACCACACUGACACUUAAAAAAAUACUUGUUUGAUGAAACGAUGACCUUCAAACUAAUGUAUCCAAAAUGAAAGUAUCAUCAUGCCUUCAUACUUUCCAAAAUGUACAUUUUUUCCAGGAAAUGGCACUAUAUCCACCUGACUGACCAAGCCAAAUAAUUAAAUAUGUUACUAACUCCUCUCUCCUAUAUCCUCAUCAAAUUAUUGCAAACUACUCAUUCUACCUUUUCAGUAUUUCUCAUUUUCUUUUUCUUUUUUUCUUUUUGAAUUAGGGCUUUAAUGUUUGAGGGGUUAAUACUCAGAACUGGAAUACCUGGAUCAUAUGAUAGCUCUAUUUUUAAUUUUGUGAGGAACUUCCAUACUGCUUUCCAUAGUGGCUGCAACAAUUUGAAUUCAUACAUACAAUGCCUACAGGUUUACUUUUCUCCACAUCCUUGUCAAUACUUGUUAUGUUACUGUCUUUUUGAUAACAGUCUUUCUAACAGAUGUGAGAUAUCAUCUGAUUGUUCUUUUGAUUUGCAUUUCCCUGAUAAUUAUUGAUGUGGAGCAUCUUUUCAUGUGCCUAUGGGACAUCUGUAUGUCUUCUUUUAAAUAAAAUUAUAUUUUUUUUGUUUCUAUGUUGUAUGAGUUCUUUCCAUAUUUUGGAUAUUAAUGACUUGAUGGAUAUAUGGUUUGUAAUUAUCUCCUCUCACUCAGUAGGCUACCUUUUCCUUUUGUUAAUGGUUUCCCUCCCUGUGCAGAAACUUUUCAGUUUGAUGUAGUCUUGCAUGUUCAUUUUUUUUUUUUUAUUGCCCUUGCCUUUGGAGUCAGAUCCAAAAAAAAAACAGAAAAACAAACAAACAAAAAAAAAACCCACCAAGACCAAUAUCAAGGAUCUUACCACAUAUUUUUUCUUCUAGAAGCUUUAUGGUUUGGGGUCUUAUAUUCAAGUAUUUAAUUCAUCUUGAAUUAACUUUUGUGCAUAGUGUAAAGUAGUAGUCUAAUUUCAUUCUUUUGCAUGUGAUUGUCCAGUUUACCCAACACAAUAUAUUGCAGAGGCUAUAUUUUCCCCAUUGUAUAUUCUUUCUACUUUUAUUGUAAUUUCUAUUACAACUACCAUUUAGAGUACCUAUCAAUUUUACUUAAAUAAUGAAAUAUUUUCCUAAUUGGUUUCCAUCAUUUUCGCACACCUUCUAAACCAACCUCUUUCCCCCAAACCCAUUCUCUACAAUCAAUAGAGAUCUUUCUGAAACUUUAAUGGGAACAUGUGUUUUCUUCCUCACAUGAAAUGGACCAACAGUCCCCCAUUUGCCUUAGGAAUCUCCUGUCCCUUAAGUUUGCUCCUAAGGUGCUCUGUGGUCUGACCCUUGUUUAUCUCCUUGGUCCUUUCUCUUAACCUUCCUCUACCCAUACCUACCUGACCAAAAAAAAAAAAA